rnacentral:lncRNA from 1 species
UUUGAUAGAUUGGAUUGUCGAUUCAAAAUGCAUGUUCCAGACAGUUUAUCUAAAAAUUAUGGCUAAAUUAUAUAAAACCCUCUUAUUAAUACCCGCUUUUUCACUUUCUCCUCUGUCGUUUAAAAAUCUAUACUUUACCCACUUGUAAAAUAAAAAAUGUUCACAGGGGAGUACGGUGUGAACUGUGAUGACAAAAUGACCAAUUUGCCCAUCAUUAUUUUUGUCUCCUCCCUCAUCUUACUCAUCCGUCGCCUCGAUCGGCGGCGAUUCGUGCCUCGAUCGGCCUCGAUUCUUUCUAUUUUCUUCUUCACCUGUUCCCCUUCUCCUCUUGCACCUUCGUCACCCCUCCAUUUCGGCAACAGUAGAGAGAAAAUUGAGGUGGUGUGGAUGGAGAGGUGGGCAAGAGCAAUGAGGGCUAAGACGAGGCAGCGGAGGCAGGCGAGGGGGUGUUUGUGGGCGAGGACGGAGAUGUAGGCAAGGGCGAGGCGGCGAGGCGGCAGGAGGGCGAGGUGAUAGGGGAGGAGGUUGAGAGUAUUUAUGGUUUAUAAAAUAUAUAAUAAUAUUUUAUAAAUGGAACCCUAACGGGGUACUAACUGCAGGGGGUGAAGUAAACAUUUUUUAUUUUACAAAGGGGUAAAGUAUAGAUUUUUUAAAUGACAGGGGAAAAGUGAAAAAGCGGGUAUUGACAGAAGAAUUUUUAGUUAUUAUAUUUACACUUUAAUCAAUUCCAUCCAUUAGAUCACACUAUUCAACCAACCACCCACUCAACCCUAGAGGGACCACCACUAAACCCUAGGAGACCACUAUCAUUCUAAAGCUACAAUUUUUUAUUCUAGAGUUAAAAACUUGAUUGCAAAAAAGGCUAAAUACUAUUAAUAGUAUUCUAGCCCAAUUUAAUCUCUCUCUAUAUAUACGUGAAGCCAGGAUGUUUAUAAUGUUCUUCGAGUCAAAAUUAUAAAAUUUAAUAAUUUUCACAUACUUUUAAUAGUAUAUAUCAAAUCUAACGGAGUCGAUCGUCCAUUUGGAUGCCUCCGUGCUACCAAAUUGUUUUCAAUGAUUCGGCAUCCAAAUCGACGAUCGACUCCAUUAGACUUGAUCUAUAUUAUUAAAAGUAUUUGAAAACUAAAUUUUAUAAUUUCUCGACAUUUUUUACCUAUCAAAUGAGUAGUCUAAAUAUGAACGGUUGAAAAUAAAAGUCUUGUAAAAAUGAUGAUAAAAUACUUGAAUUUAAGAUCCGAGGUACUGAUCUUACUCUAAAUAGUGAAAAUAAUUUUGUAUAAAAAUUUUAUCAGAUUUGGAUUGUUUUACACUGUUAAAUUCACAAACUCAUCACAUCGACCAUUAAAUUUGUUAAUUUUGAGACAUUUUGAUCACUAACUAAACAAUAUUAAAAAAUUAUAAAAUUUAAUUUUUAAAUAUUUUUAAUAAUAUAAAUCAAGUCUAAUGAAGCAGAUCGUCAAUUUAGAAUCCCAAUAGUUGAAAACAACUUUCCACCCAGUACUACAACCCGGAAAACAGCAACAAUAUUCGGCUGCUGCGACGUUACAAUCAACCCACGUGUUCCGGAAUUGUAUAUUCGCUAAUUAAAGGGAAUAAUCAAUAAUAGAAAGGUUCACCAAUAAACCUUGCAGUGGCCAGUAUCUAUCUAUAUCUAUUUAUACAGUAGGUAGGCGCUGUGCACAAGCAUGCAACUGUGGGCCACUUCCUAAGUCCUCAAACUCUCAAGUAUAGCUUCAAAUAAAAUAAGACGCCACUUAAAUUAAUUUAAUCAUAUUAUUAUUUUAAGAGGAAAAUUUAAUAAGAAAGCCACGACUUACUUUUGAGUCUCUUACAAUUAAUUAAGGAUAUAUAUAUAUAUAUAUAUAUAUAUAUAUAUAUAUAUAUAUAUAUAUAUAUAUAUAUAUAUAUAUAUAUAUAUAUAUAUAUAUAGAGCUAGGCUCCUAUGCUUUCGAAAGUACGGAGGCUUCCGUACUUAUAAAUUGUUUUCGAUGAUGGGACUUCCAAUUCGGUGAUCGGUUCCGUUAAAUAUGAUCUACGCUAUUGGAACUAUCUAGAAACCAAAUUUCAUAAUUUUUUGACUUUGUUUACCUAGUGAACGAGUAGCUUCAAAAUGAACGGCUGAAAAUAAAAAUCUCUUAAAAAACAGCGAUAAAGGACUCAAAUUUCAAAUCGAAAGUAUUGCCCUUGCUCUUGAUGCUAAGUAGAAUUUUUUAUUAAAGUUUCAUAUAAUUUGGAUACUUCUACACCGUUGAACUUAAAAACGUGCCACAUCGGCCGUUCAAAUAGUCAAUUUUGAGACCCUUUGAUCGCUUGGUAAAUGAAGUCGAAAAAUUAUAAAAUUUGGUUUCUAAAUAGUUUCAGUAGCGUAGAUUAUGCCUAACACAGCCGAUCGUCGAAUCGGAUGUCCUAUCAUCGAAAACAACUUACAAGCACGGAGGCCUCCGUACUUUCGAAAGCACGGGAGACAUACUAUAUAUAUAUAUAAGAAAGGCUACUAUGCUUUUGAAGCACGGAGCCUUCCGUGCUUUCAGGUUGUUUUUCAUGUUGCGACUUUCGAUCGUCGAUCAGCUCCGUUAACUUGAUCUAAGUAUUUGAAGUACUAGAAAAUAAAUUAUGUGAUUUUUUCGAUAUUAUUUGCCUAGUGAAGGAAGGGGCUCAAAAUCAACGGCUGAAAAUAAAAAUUUUCAAAACAUGAUAAUAUGACAUUAAAAUUUUAGAUCAAAAAUAUUGAUCUUAUUUUAUAUAAUAUAAAGAAUUUUCUAUCAAAAUUUCACGUGAAUUUGGAUAUUUCUACACCGUUAAACUUCCAAACGGCUCACUACGGCCAUUAAAAUUAUUGAUUUUUGAGCCCCUUCGAUCACUAGGCAAAUGAUAUCGAAAAAUCAUAAAAUUUAUUUUCUAGGUACUUCAAUACUAUGAUCAAGUUUAACGGAGCCGAUCGGCCGAUUCGAGAGUCGCAACAUCGAAAACGACCUGGAAGCACGGAAGGCUCCGUGCUUCCAGAAGCAUAGUAGCCUUACACUAUAUAUAUAUAUAUAUAUAUAUUAUAUAUAUAUAAUAUAUAUAUAUAUAGUCCGGUUACUAUACUUUUAUGAGUAUUGACUCCCUUAUACUCAUAAAUUUUCAGCCCUUAGAUUGUUUACAUUGAUCAUUUUUAACCGGUUAGAUCAUAUUAUUCAACUAAAUACCCACUCAACAUUAGGGAACCACUAUCAUUCUAAGUGGGACCACCAUCAUCCUAACACACAUUCACAUCAUCAUACAACGUUAAAAAUUUAUGAGACAAGAGAAUUCUAUACUUAUAAUAUAUAAAUAUACUAGAUUUUCACUCCGCGAUGCACGGUAAUAUAAUAAUAUACGAAUAUAUAAAAAUUAUUAUGUGAUAAUAAUAAAAAAUUUUCUAAUUAAUUUUCAUAUUUUUUAACAAAUAAAAAAAUAUACUAUUAACUUAAUUAUAGUACAUAUUAAAGUAUACAAGCUAUGAGAAAAAAAUUUGGACAAAGUAAAUAUUCAACUAAAAUGUAAAAUUCAAUCCUAGCUCUAUUAUCUAUGAAUUGUAUCAAAAAAUUUAUAUUUACCAUAUUGAUGGCGAAUAAAAUGAUAAUUAAAAUUGAUAUGAAAAUUACAAUGACAUUAAUAUUUAAGUUAUAUAAUGAGAUCAUACUAAACUUUCAUAUUUGACACAAAUUAGGAGUAAGCACCAUAUAUUAGUUCCUACUGUCGCUUUUAAGAUUUAAAAAUAUAUAGAUGUUGGUUUUCAAGAAAAUAUAAAGAAAAAAAAUUUUGUUGCAUGAAGAUGAAAGUUACAUGAGUGACAGAAGGGAAAAAAAUUACGAAAAUGAAAAUUACAGAGAAGUGACAGUAGGAAAUAAUAUGUUCUAUUUAAAGCAUCAAUAUUUAAGAGCGAAGAAAAUUACAGGAGUGAUGUGAGUUUUAAAUUUUUUUCUCUUUCCAAAAAUGCCUCUAUCUUUUUUUACUAAUAUUUUUAUGUCCAGAAAUUUUCAACCAAUCAUUUUAAAUAAUUAGCUAAGUAAUAAUUUAUUCCCAAAUAAAGAUAAAUAUUUUUCUUCUCACGCGUAAUAUCCGCACCGCCAAUUCUUUCGCAACAUAAUAUCCAUAAAUUUCUCAAAUAUCUCAACAUAAUUAUAGGUGACUUUGAAAUAAAAUUUUCUUCAUUAUAUGUGAUUUUUAAUAAUAUAGUAAAAGAUAUUAAUUUUUAUAAAAACGUGAGUUUUGAAUUUUUUCUCUUUUCAAAAAUGUCUCUAUCCAUUUUUACUAAUAUUUUUAUGUCCAGAAAUUUUCAACCAAUCAUUUCAAAUAAUUAACGAAGUAGUAAUUUAUUCCCAAAUACACAUUUAUAUCCUAUUUUCUAUCUUUUCUAAAAUAAAAUAUCUAUAUUUGAACUUUACACGUAGAUUAUUAAUAAUUUGUAACCAAAUAUUCAUAUUUGAGUUUGACACGUGGCAAGCAUAUAGAAAGCCACGUGUCAGCUUCUUACAUAGGGUUCAUUAAGGGUUCUACUUUUAUAUAUAGUAAUAGAUGUCAUGUUUGAACAUAUAUGUAUAUAUUGAGCAUGUUGAAUAGUAGGGUUAAUUGUGAGCUUUUAUUGCAUGAUUGUGAGUUUAAUUUUGUAUGAAAUACUUGUAAGAAUGUGAGAAUUAUAACCCUAUUUAUGCAUGACAAGUGACAAGAACCUAGAAAGGUUAGUGAACAAAAGUGACUCAUGGACAUAGAUCUAGCGAGUGACAUUAAUGAGUCUAGAACACUUAGAAAAACAAGUGUGGCAUUUGGCAUGAAAACAAGAACAUAGCACUUAGAAAACAAGUGUGGCAUGAGUACAAGAACUUGGUAGUGUAUAUGACACUAAAGUUGGUAAAGAAUGCAAAGAAAAGAAUGAUUGAGAUAUUAUGACAUUGCAACCUUAGAGUUAAGGGUCAUUGAGUAUGGUCUUCCUUAAAUUUAAGGAAUGGAUUGAACUUGGAAUCCUCAAUAUAGGAUUGAUUGUACUCACCUUUAGUCCUUGCUCGAGGGUGGUAGCUCCCCCUCGGGCAAUGUGCUCCGGAGUCGAUAUCACUGGGUUGUAGCGGGUAUCUCCCCAGAGGACAGUCCUAUCGGGUUGUAACGGGUAUCUCCCUGGUUAGUAGGAUUUUGGGUGGUGAGUUUGUUGAGGGCGAAACCUACGGGUUAGCCAAGAGAUUGGGUAAAGAAAUUGUGAUCUUGCAUUCAUCAUGAGCAUUAUAUCGAGCAUCACAUUUUAUAUUGUUCAGGCAUAUUAGUUGCAUUUGUUAGUUGGUUAUUUUCUUUCUUCUAUUCUUAUUAUGCCUGAUUAGACCUAGUGGGAUAGUCGGCGUGGUUGGUGCCGAACCCACUGGAAACUUUGUUGUAGUUCUCACACCCCUUUUUCCUCAGAGCCGGGACCCAGCGUGCCGGCGGACGAUCGCGGUAAGGGCAUCGCGCCCUAGGUAGAGACCGCCCGAGAUGUUUUAUUUUCAUAGUUGCAUACCCCUUAUUAUCAUCUUUUGUAUUUGAUGAUGUUAGUAUUGUGAUCAUGUUAAAAGAAUGAUGUAGAAGACUCCAUUUAUGUUAAAUGGAAAAAGGAUCAUAUUUUUGGAGAACUUGUGAUGUAUAAAAGAAAUGAUGCAAAGUUGUAUGAAAGUCGAAUGCACGUAUGUGAACUAAAUCUAGUCAAAUACUUGUAUGAUGAUUUAGUAGAUUCUUUCACUAUUGGCUAUUGCUUGCCCUCGUGCAAGCCAUUGUGUAUGUUUCCGCUUAUGCAAACUUUAUACUCUAUUAAUACUUGUUGUUGAGCCUUGGACGGACAGGGGAAGCUCUGUCCGUUCGGCGUCUGUUCGACGCUCUCGAACCGGCCAAAAGGAUCGGGCUCGGGGCGUGACAUGGACAGAAUAAAGUGCACAAAUCUAGCUAAAAGUAAAGAUGAAGAGAUUGCCAAACAUACCGAUUGCUCAUAUUCUUUAUAUCUCCUCUACAGAAUUAACUUUAUCAAGCAAAAUAAAAAGGUAUUUUAUACAUUGCAACAAAGCACAACGAUCCCAUCCAGAAGGCCGCUUUCUCUCCCUUGGCCUAUCCCGUGAAGUGCAAUUCAAACAAAAACAAAUGAUAUCGGGAAUAGUAAGAGAAAUUUAGUAGAGAUAGUAUCUCCCAGUAGGUGUAGGAGACAACAAUCACAGCAGUAACAAACAUUUAUUCAAAGUCGCAACUACUGAGCUACAUUUAUGCAGAUUAACUGAAAAGGACUAAUCUGUCGGGGUUCUUAUUCCCAUUUUCGUUUGUGCUUUCUUCAGGCUUGGACGGAGGGUUAAAGGAGCGACCGGUUGUGUUUUAUAUGCUGCCUCUCCACCAUCGUACCACCAGAAACAAAACCUCGUAGAACGGGUCUUGCGCUGGGAGCACUACCGCUUGGGGUUCUAUUAUUGCUCUGAGAACUCGAAGCGGCAGCAACAAAAUUGCAUUUGAACUGUUGCAUCAUCCCAGUCCUCAGCGAAUUAACAGCAGCAGAUCUACCUGGAGCUGGCUGAGAUGUUGCAUUUGACUCCUCGGGUUUAUAACCGAUUCCAAGGCCGUAAUCAACACCACGAACACCUCGCCUGCUACCACCGCCACCACCUCCUUUUCCUCUUCCUCCACCUUUUUUACCUCCUGAGAAAAUAUUUUCUAUGGUUAAGAACAAAUAUCGGAAAGCUGAGUUGACACUAUAUAGCAGAAAAUGAGUUAUAUAGCUGCAUAGCUGAGGCAAAAUGUAAGAAAAAUAUUUUGUUAUCUUAUAAACUAUAAUAUGCUUCAACAGCGUACACAUACCUGAACCUUUUCUUUGAUCACGUUUGGACCUGAACCUUGCAUCCUAUGAUUGAAAAAUCCAACUUAGAAGCCACCAUUUCACAAAAAAUAGCUCAUAUAACCUUUAUUUAAGUAUGUGCUGAUGGAAACUAUUAGAGUUCAUGCUACUCAUUCCAAUAAUAUUUAGUUUGAAGGUAACAACAGUAUAUUGAUCUGGAAAGAAUCACAGAGACGCUACAAAGCAUUCCAAUAUAAAAGAGAACAAGAAAGGGUUUUAUGACCAAACCACAGAAGAAAGAAAGGAAAGAGGGAACAACAAAAAGGAGAAUUAGUCGUGCAAGCUUUCGAUACGUAUACUGUGUGCAAAAUUAAGUAUAACGUUGCUCCGACAAAUAAUACAAAAGAAAAUGUAGUGCAGGCUUCUCAUCCUAAGGAGAAUGAAAUGCAGGAAAGAACAUAAAAAGAUAGGACUUAAUAGACCUCACCUUCAUAGCCAGAUCCAUCAAUUCGACAGAAACAUCUUGACCAGCAGCAAUCAAAUUGUUGACUAGUUCACCAGCAAAGCGUGCCUCCUUCUGCGUAAUAAGAGUGUAGGCCGUCCCAUCUUUAUCACCAGCACGGCCAGUUCUCCCUAUACGAUGGAUGUGCAUGUCCAUGUCUUUUGAAAUAUCAUAGUUAACAACUGACUUUAUCGACUUUAUGUCUAGCCCACGAGUGGCAACAUCAGUUGCAACUAGAACAUGGUAAAUCCCCGAUUUGAACUUCUGCAAGGUGUCCAUUCGAGAGGCCUGGUCUUUGUCCCCAUGCAGUGCCGCGACCUUGAACCCUUUCUGAACCAGCUGGCUUUCGAUUUCAUCUACUGUUACCUUUUUCAACGCAAAGACAAGAACAUCCCCAUCAUCAAUCAAUGACGGCAACUUCUCAAGCAGCCGAGGCAUCUUCUUAGAAUCAGAAGGAAUUACGUGGACAAGUUGGGCGAUGUCUUCGUUGGCCCAUCCAACCUCACCGACGGUAACCCUAAAAGGAUCUACAAGAAUUUCUCUAGCUAAGUGCUCGACUUUAUACGGCAUGGUCGCAGAGAAAAGAAGUGUCUGUUGGUCCGGUCUGAUUUGGCCAACGAUAGUCGUAUUUGCGGCUCGAACCCAAGGUCAAACAUCCGGUCAACUUCAUCGAGCACCAGGUAAGUUGCCCUAAACAUCUUCAAGGCUUUCAUCUUCAGCAAGUCUAUUAAUCUCCCUGGAGUAGCAACAACUAUUUCACAACCUGCUUUAAGAUCUUUAAAUUGGUCAUGCUUUGAAACACCACCAUAGACAGCGGCAACUCGUAGAUCGUGUAAGGCUUCGCAAACUUCUUGGCUUCUAGAUAUAUUUGAUGUGCCAAUUCCCUGGUGGGAGCACAUAUCAUGCCAAUUGGACCUUUUUCUUUUUCAAUUUCGGGCUGGUCCAUAAUGUGAACAAUCAUAGGGAGUACAAAUGCCACAGUUUUUGUAAGGUACCGUACUUCUAAAACUACGAAGUUACGGUGUACAUUUAAAUGGUUCCGGUGAGGUUGCGGUGGAAUGUAACAUACCGGAUUUUGAGUAUAAAGGUGAAAAUAAAUAAAAAUAGUAUGAGAUACUAUUUUAUUGGGUUUAGAGAAGUGAAAUAUAGAUUGGAAAUGACUUGUGCUGAAAUCGGAGCGAAAACAGAAGAUUUAAAAUUUUCUGUGAGAAACGGGGCAGAUAAAUUAGCAGAAAAUGCACAGUGUCAGAAAAUUAUGAAAACUGGAGGAUAUAUCAGAAAUAUUUUUAUGAGGCUAGAUUUAAAGUUUCAUACCAUUCUGACACCCGUAGAGUGAGAAAUAAAAUCCGACAGUCAUCUGAUAAAGGUUACAGUUCGGCACAGUUUUCGGUGACCAAACGGGGUCGAAACUGAAAACUUAAGAUAUAUUCUUACUCAGUACGUUAAACUGAAGCUGCCUGUCAAAUUUGAGCUCAAACGGACAUUCAGAAGGGCUCCAACGAAACUUAUCAGAUUUAGGGACUAAACUGGAAGGUUGAAUAGUUGAGGGGCUAACUUGUAAAAAGGGAUUAAAUCCCUUUCUUCUCCUUCCUCAGCCGAAUGCAACCCGCACACACACACAACACACACGCAUACAUGGAAAGGGUUNUAUAUAUAUAUUAUGCUGUCACACCUACAAUUAAGGACAUUCUAACCAACCUCACACCUACUGGAUCAUGUAGUCAAAAUUCAGUUGGUGUGUUUCAAUUCAAAUUAAUAUCUGCCAAACAAUCGAUAGCUCCGAAAACUUAACUUCUAGAAAAUAAUGUACUACAAAAGAUCAUUAUUUCUCAAAACUAGUCUUAGUACACUCCCCUACAUGGGUGUAGACGUGUUGAAACACGCCACAUAGACUAUCAAAAAUUAUAUGCCAAAAACUGGUGAAUGCAGAAAUUGCACCUAGGAUCUCAUGGAAUGUGAGGGCACUAGAACUCGGCUCUGAUACCAUAUGAAAAUUACUUAUUAUUUUUUAAGCAUAUGCUAUCAAAAGAUAAUAUUUUUCUUAUUCUUAUAUUUACCAUUCAAUCAUUUCCAAAAAAAAAAAAGAAAAAGAAAAAAAAUUCUUUUUGUGUGCUGGAUCUUUUUCACUGCUUACACAAGCACCUUCACUUAGGGUAUGUUUGUUUCAGCGUAAGUAGACUUUGGGUAGAAGUAGACUUUGGGUUGAAGUGGAGCUUGGGUGAAAAUUAGUUCAUUUCUGCUGUUUGUUUUUAACUGUGGAAGUGCAAUUCUGCGAGUUCUGUUGUUUGUUUGGUAGGAAGUAGAUGACGUAAAAAGUGUAACUCUUCACCCCCGGUAUGGUUGUCACGCCCCGGAUUACACUUUUUUCGGGCGCGCCGACAAAUCCGCCGUAUACAAAGGAAUUUUCUCUGUAUACGAAGCGAUAGCUGUACCUGUAAAUCAAACACUACUACGAACAGUAGUAGGGAGCUGCUAGAGAAAACAGAAGCUCAACCAAUACUGAGUAUUCAUUAUACAAUAGUCCAAAUCGAAAAUACCAAUAGCCUACUCGCCACUGCGAGUAGGUCCACUAUGUACAUUAAACUCGAAACACAAAACAUCUACUGCCAGUAGGAGGCCCUCUAGCCUCAGCACGUCGGGAGGCUCUAACUCGCGACGCCCCUUGCCUCGUAUCCUAUCCGCGGUAAGGCGCAGCAAGCGAAACCUGUGCGCUCUGCCAAAACAGGGCAGUUUAACAACUGUGGACGUGAACUACUGUAAAAAACAUAGUCUCAGUCGGGUAACCGCCCCAAACUAACAUCGGUCACCCACUAAGUCUACAGAAAGGCGAGCAAGAAUAGCCCAAAGCUAGGAAAUAAAACUCAACCGGCUACAACUACACUAUACUAUCAGGCUCUAGCAACUAACAAUACUGUAGGAAAUGUCAAAUCUGAACCAAUCAUCGGGACUGUAAGCCAUACCCGUCCACUGGGAACUGCUGAAUACAGCCGCAGUCCCUGCCCCGUUGUGACUAUCACCAGCUCUAUCCACACAUAACCUGGUCCGGGGAGAGCAAGUCAACCGCGGUCCCGAAUUGAGCGAUCACCAACCGGCGAAAGCACAAGCACUGACUCUCCGCGGUUCCAUAGUCGGCACUCUGGCGCUACCCACGGUACUGCAGCGAUAUCUCUGGUCGAGGCUCCAACCUACAGGCUUCCAACCUAGGCCAAAGUCAACGAUGAAACAGGGUACAACGAGUCUACAAACCAAACCACGUCGCCCUCGCGCACAAUCUGAUAGCCAAAACAAGAAUCUGUGGUCCAGCGCUAUCCCGUAACGGCACCCAACGACGCGAAACAGUCAAUAUACUCUGCUUGGAAAAAUAAGCUCGUGCAUCCCAGCACCGAGCGUAAAUGCCUUCUAACUAUCCCAGAGUAUCCAUCGCACUGACUCUCUUUUGCAACGAUCACAAUCGAAAGCACGGCUCCUAGAGCUAAAUCUGUCUAGUUUAAGCAUAUGGACGGCCUCAAAACGCAGGUUUUCUCCUAAGUCAAAUCAAGUCCACACAUGAUAUAAAUAAACAUUCAUUUCAGCAUUGCUUUAUAUUGCAUAUUACGUCCAAAAUGCUAAUCAGAUGAAAUUAAACAUGAUAGUACAAACAUCGACACUAUACACGUCGGCACUAAAUGCCCACUUAGCUCACAGCAAAACGAUGAUAACACCCACCUUGAGAGCAAAUCCUGGCAUGCAGAGAAGCGUCAGCUCAAGCCUGACGAAGCACGCCUGCUGGAACCAUUCAUACCUAGCCUUACAGCCAGCAAAGAUCGAAAAAGUAGGAUCCUAGACAUCACACUCACACAACACACUAACAAAAUUCAAUUUCCUAACUUAUGCUAUUUAUCAAUUUCAAUGUCAAAACUACACUAAGUGGAGCUGCCAAUUCGGUGUGAGCGGACAGAUCCAAAUCAGCAAACUACUGACGGGCGUCAAUCAUAACUCAGGUCGCAAAAUUCCACAGCUGCAACAAACGAUAGCCAUGCAAGAAAAACUCAGAAAAUCCAUUUUCGCUCAAAGCCAAAUAGCCAGUCCAGAAAAAUCUCAAUAUCGAUCUCAAGCUAACCUCAAACCAAAUCUGCCAUUCAGGGUUCGUGGAUUCCUCUUGCGAAGUCUAGAAUCCAGCAAACCAAGUUUCGUCGCAAAUCCGACCUUCCUACGAUUCAGACGGCACGAGCCAAAACACUGGAGCUCGCGGCGUCGAAUCGCUGGAAGGAACUGCAGAAAUCAGUACCAUCAAGCUGGAUUUCAUGGAAAGUUUUGAUGCACUUUGAGGGCAACAAUCGAGGGUAGCAGAUGCUAAAACGAGGCUUCUCUGUGAAAGAAAGGUGAUGGAAUAAGAGCUCACCGGAACACUUCCUCAGCUAUUUAUAAGCGGUGAAAAAUAGGAUCACAUGAACCUAAACAAACAAAGCUAAUGCAAUCUGCACAUUCCAGCACGCCAAACUAGGUCCCUGCAGAAAACUGGCGUUUGGGCCGCCGGAACCAUGUCUGGCGCGACCAGAACAAUUCCAGCCUGCACAAACGGGGCUCCUCGGACUCUCGCUCGCGCGUUGCGCUUCGCCGCCGGUGAAACGGCUCCGGCCCGUUAACUAUCCUACCACUCUGCCACUGCCGUCAAGCAAGGCCGAUAUUCACGAUGUCGAAUUCCGGACCCACUUCUGGUGCGCCCGGAACUUGGGAUCCGAAUUGGCUGUCCAGUUUCAGCUUAAAUUCAACUAAUCGUUUCUGGGCCGAACUAACAACCUUGUUCUGGGCGCCGAAUCUGGCAAAUAACUCCAGUUUUUGCUUAUCUUUGGAAGUGCGCCGAGUUUCCAAUUCUGCAUUUCAAUUCGGUGCCAACGAAUUGACUCCGACUAUAGCUCCGACAGCUCGUCCAGAAUGUCGAAAGUCUUAUAAUUACUGAAGCCAUCCUAUCCGAAAGCUCGCACAGAAACUACAAUAGCUUACCUCUGAAGUAUCUAUUGUCUAUUUUGGUAACUUUAGUAGAUAAUAAAUUAUAAGUAAAAAAUUAAUAUAAUAUAUAUAUGUAUAAUUAUAAAAUAAAAUUUUAAAAAAUUAUAUUAUUUGUUUGCAUAUAAAUUAUAAUAAUGCAACAAAUAAAAUUCUAAAGUUAAAAAAUUAUUAACAUUUAACAAAUUCAUUUUUCAUCAUUUUCUAAAUAUACAUAUUAAACAAAAAAUAUAUUAAAACUUACCUAACCAAAUUUGAUCAUAUUUUAGACAUACAAUCCAAAUAAAAAAUUUAAUUACUUCCAUAAUUGAAUAUAUUUGGAUGAAAGGGUAGAGAGGAGGUAACCCUAACACAUUAAUCCCACUCUUGCCUUUUUUUCACUUCACCGGAAUUGACUUCGCCCCGUGGUAGGGCGAAGUCAAUUUCAUUAUUUUGGGUGAACUGGACUUUCGGGCGUAAUAAAAUUACGGUGAACCAAACAACGGAAGUGGGCAGUUUUCACCGAAAAUUACUUCUCUCUUCCCACUUCCACCCCACUUUCGUGCAAACAAAAAGGCCCUUAAAGUAUGAAUAUUAUUGAAUUUUGAGAGAGUUGAUACUACCAAAAUACUUUUCAUUAUUAUAGAAGCAAAAAUAUUUAAAUAUCAAUUUGAUUCUAUGAAUUUACCUUGCAUUCUCAAAUAAAUUCCUAACAAUAUAAACUUCCGAACUAUGAUACUGUUUUGAUCAUAAGAGAUUAAUAUGUUUUGUAGCUUUAUAGACAUUAGAAAAGAGUCAAUGUCGAGCCACAAUCUGAAAGAAAUAUUGUUACACUACAACAAAAAUGGUGUAUAGCGACACUUUUAAAUAUUGGUAUAGGUCAAAAAAAAAGUACUGCUCCCUAAAUUACCGAUACUUUUUAAAAGUGUUGCUAUAUGUGGGGUCGCUAUAGGUAGGGCCGCUUUGAUAUUCGGCAUUUACUCCAGCGACCUGUGGCGGAGGGAUAUGUGGCGGUCGUAGCCCUCUACGGUCCCUGCGAGAUCCUCGCGGUCGAACUCCAGCCGCCGGAACCCUAUCUCGUCGGCUGCAGCGGCGGAGGACGAGAAGGGGAGAUGGUGAUCAAUUUUUCUUUUUUUUUUUUCCUUUUUUAUUGUAAUCGGGCCGAGUGGGCUGAGUGUGGUUAGUUGAGUAGAGUAACGUUUUAUUUUUUAUUGGAUUGGGCUUUAUAUUUAAGUCUUAGUAGAUUUUUAAAAAAAUUUUGGCAUAAAUGGGACACUUAUAUAAAAGUGUCUCAAGAAUAUGUCCCUAUAGCCGAAUUCUGUUGUAGUGUUAAUGUUUCUCAUAUUGCUGCGAGCCGAUCUUCUUUGAUCGCUGGUUUGGUCAAAACACUCCUUCGGGAAGCGCACUAGGAGGAUAAGCGGCUACGAAUAAUGACCCUCGAAACUUGCACCCGCUGUCGGAUCAAGUGAUUCGGCCGAUGAGGGAUUGGAUCAGUCAAGUUCAAUUCACACACUAGGCUCGGUUCGGCCGGAUCAGCUAUGAGGUAAUGAAUCCUUGAUGUGUAAACCGAAUCUUGGUCGAAAUUGACUGAAGUGUGAUAUUGGACACUUUAGAGAGGUCCGUAGAGUGUUUCGAGUGAUCGGAAUGACUUACAAGGGUGUAAGGGACCAAAAGAGACCUUGUUUGGUGAAUUUCGAAAAUUUUCAAAUUUGUGGUGCUCUCGGGGUCCGGACCCUACAUGUAGGGUCCGGACCCCGUACAUGGGAAAACGUGAAAAAUUGCAAAAAGGUCAUUUGUGUGACGGGCUAAGUGCAUUGUGCAAGUGGGAGUGUAUAUAGAUGGGUUUUAUCCCAUUUCUUCACAUUUCCCCUUCACACCCCAACAAAAGAGAGUUCUAUUUCUCUCUCUAAACUUCUCUCUCUCUCUCGUAGGGUUUGAUCCAAGAGGAGGAGUUGGUAGAGAAAGGUUGCUUGGAGGUGAAGCUACCAUCUUCUUCUUCAUUUGGCUUGAGGAGAAGCUUGUGUUGGAGGUAAGCUUCAUGUGAUUUAGUGGUUUGUAGUUUGGGUUUUGAAAUAAUCCCUUAGAAAUGAGUUAAAUGGAAACCAUAGGUGAUGUUACACUAGAUUAUUGCAUGAAUCAUGAUUGUUAUAUGUAUUCUUGCAAUAAUGGGUUUUUAGGUUUUCUAAAGAGGGCUUUUGAUCAUAGAAGGGUUUGAUCUAAAUUGAGCCUAUGUAAACUUAAUUGAAGGUAAAACUGACACGGUGGGCAACUCGAAUUGAAAUUCCUACGGACGUGCGGCGAGUCGUUGAAGAAAAGUACACUUUUCGGUUCGUUUGUGUUGGGUCGAGCCGAAACGAUGCUCAUAAAUUGCGAGGCUUGAAUUCUCGCAUCGCGGCAUCACCAAGAGAUGGGGGGUGCUAUCCGAAAAAAUCGGAUUUCCUUUUAUGUCUAAGUUGUUAUUGUUGAGCAUUUAUACUCAUAUGUUGAUAUCAUGCAUUGUAGGAUAUAUGGUUAGAUGUAUUUCAAUUCCUUGUAUGCUUCCAUGGUAAAAAUAGAAAUUGUGAGUUGGACACAUGAUCUAGUGGAUGCAUAAGGAUUGUGUCUUGACAUGGAAUCCUAUAGUACUAAGAACAAGUGAUGAACUUGAACAAGUAAAUAACAUAAAAGAAUGGCAUUUGGAAAUAGUGUAGUAGUGGCACUAUGUAGCAUACCGAUUUUUUUUUUAAUAAAAGUGAAUAUAAAUAAAAAUAGUGUGAGAUACUAUUUUUAUUCGACUUUUAGAAGUAAAUAUAAAUUGGAAAUGAUCUGUGCUGAAAUUGGAGCGAAAAUAGAAGAUUUAGAAUUUUCUGUGAGAGACGGGGCAGAUGAAUUAGCAGCAAAUGUACAGUGUCAGAAAAUUAUGAAAAUAGGAGGAUAUGUCAGAAUUAUUUUUAUGAGGAUAGAAUUAAAAUUUCAUCCCAUUCUGAGACUCGGAAGGUGGAGAAUAAAAUCAAACUGCUAUCUACUAAAGAUUACAGUUCGGUAGAGCUCUCGGCGACCAAACGGGGUCGAAACUGAAAGAUUAAAAUUUUUUUCGUUAAGUUAAGUAAAACCGAGCAUGACUGCCAAAUUUGAGUUCAAAUGGACAUUUAGAAGGGCAGGCGAAAAAUAUCUGUACCUGAGCUACAAACUGAAGUGAAUAGUAUUUUGGGGAUAUAUAUAUAUAUAUAUAUAUGUGAACUUGUACUCUUUUCUCAUUUGUGCCCAACCCAAGAGAGGCUUGGAGAGCAAGCUUCCUUUCUCUCUUUCUCUCUUUGUCUCUAUGACCUCUAUUUCUCUCUACCAAAGAGAGGAUUGGAGGAGAAAAUUGGAGCAAGCUUGAUAGAGAAGAAAGCUUGGAGUUGAAGCUUCAUCUUUAUCUUCAUCUUCUCCUUCCUUGGUCUAAGAGGAAACUUGAGAGGUAAGCUUCAUAGGGUUUUAAUGGUAGAAUUUUGAAGCCUCAAUUAUAUGCUCUAGGAAUGAGUUUAGAGGACUCCCUAGAUGCUAAUAACAUGUUAAUUGCAUAAAUCAAGUUCCAAUUUAGUGAUUUCUUGCAAUAGUAGCAUGUUAGGGCUCAAAAUAGGGGUUUUGCUAAUAAGGGGGUUUGAUCUAAAUUCAGCCUGUAUAGACCUAAUUGUUAGGUAUACGAACGCGCUGGCAAAGUCGGUUCGGCGAUACGACGAGGCUUCGCGAAGAUAUUGAAGAAAAGGCCGAUUUCGGUACAGAUUGCCGCAGCUCGCGGCGUGAGCUUCCUAAAAUCACGAAACCGGAAUCAUAGCAUCGUGAUAUCACCUAAAGUCUUGGAGCUAAGAGAAUCGUGGGCACGAAGGGUCGCGUGGAGCUCUCGGUGGGUUUGACCUCGCUACAAAUGAGAAAAUCUCAUUUAUGUGGAUUUAAGUAUCAUAAAAUGAAAAAUCACGCAUUUUCAUGGUAGAUGCAUUAUUUGUGAAUUUUAUAAUGCUUGAAAUGCUUAUGUUACAUACAAUACAUUUUUGGACCUCUAUGUAGUAGAGAGUUUUCGUGUUGGGCUUUGCCCUAUGAAUAGCAUUCUUAAUUGUGGCUUUGGAUCGCGUUGCAUUUAGUAAAUAUGACAAGUAUAAAUGCACAUGUUAUAUACAAUGCAUUUUCGAACCUCUAUGUGGUAGAGAGCUUGCAAGUGAGAUUUAUGCAUGGGUUUAGCAUUUUAAUUGGGACUUGAAAUCAUGCUCCAUAUAGUAGACAUGACAAAUGUAAUAUGCCUUGUACAUAAAUCUGAUUUGGACAUAGGAAAAUACAUUAGGCCAUAAAGUGGCUUUGGACUUGAAUAACUUGUGAGUUAGGGAGCUAAUGUCGUAAUGCGACAUCGGGCUUGAGUUAUGAAUGAGCCUAGCAAAGUAAGGCCAUAAAGAGGCAUUAGACUUGAAUGAUAUGUGAAUUGUAUGUGCAUGGUAAUUUUAUGAGAAUUAUGCUAAGUUGGUAGUUGUAUUGGAAAGCGUAUGCAUGUAGUAUUAUGAGAAUUAUGCUAAGUUGAUAGUUGCAUACGGACGCAUUGAAACCAUAUGCUAGUGGAUAGAUGCAUGUUAAUAGUUAUAUGCAUUGUGGAAUACAUGCUAGGUACAUAUUAGCAAUAUGAAAUNGCCUAUGUGGGGUCCCGAUGACGGCUCCCUACGAAUCGAGAUGGCUCGCCAGUAGAUUGGGUAAUGUACUCACGAGAAUUAUGCAAAUUAGGCAUGAGCGGUAGUCGAGUCCUAGUAGAGUGGACAUUAGGCUGAGGUGCGAGUGAGACGUCCUUCGCCUCGAGCCUAGCUUGUGCGGUACUCCGCAGUCGAUUGACUCAAGACCGAGUUGGGCGGUUAGCUUUGUAAAGGUAGAUGAAACUUUAUGACAAAGGCGGUAAAGGACAGAAAAUCUUAAAUGUCAAUUGGAUGAAAGUAGUAAUCGAUUGAACUACUAGUUGGUUGUAUAGUUGCAUUAUUGCAUGAUCUUCAUAUUGCAUAUCACGAGGCAAUGCAUGGUAUUGUUAGUUGCAUAAUCCUAUUAUCAUAUAUAUCUGUUUAUUGAACUAACCUGCAGUUGCCUCCUUCGGACCUGUCGGUCGAGCUUUUCCCUUGGGUGGCCGUACCCACUGGGAACUAUGGAGUUAGUUCUCACCCCACGUUGCUUUUGGGGUGUUACAGGUUCACACGUGAGCGGCGCGGCGGCGCGAGGUGAGGGCGUAGCUCCGUAGAUAGCGCCCUACCACCGUGACCAGAGAUAGCAGUACCCAAGUCAGCCAAGUUAGGGGUUGUAGAAAAGGAAAGCAAAAUGAUCAAACUUGUAAUAAUCUUGUGAUGAUUGAUUGUAUUCGGAAGUUUAAAUGUAUUUGAAAGGAAAAGAAAUGUAAAUAAUAUCAAGUGAAUGAAUGUAAUAACUUAGGAUGUGUUUAUGUUAUUUGAUACCUUCCUUAUGCAAUCGUUGUAUGUUGAAUACUGUUCCUGGUUGGAACCUGUUGAUUGCGACGUCUAGGACGUACAGGGGAAACUCUGUCCGUUCGGCGGUCUGUCCGCGUGCCGAACCUGACCAAAUAGGCGGGGCUCGGGGCGUGACAAUUUUACCGGAACCUGUUUUUGCAAUGCCAAUAAUAUCUCUACCAGACAGUACUAUAGGUAAAGCUUGGCACUGUAUUGGUGUUGGCUUUUCAUAGCCCUGCUUGGAAAUAGCAUUCAUCAAAGCAGUAGAGAACCCACAAUCUUCAAAGAGUUUGAUUGGCUUUGAUACAUCAAAACCAGAAACACGAAUUCCUAAGCUUUUCCUGUAAUCUGCGACAUCCUGUUCGCUCAUUCCUAAAAUCAACAAAGAACCACAUUUAAAAUGCAUCCGCGAUCCAUUUCGACUUCCAUACUGAAAAUGAGGACUAUAUUUUACCUAAGAAAUUAUAACAUCAAAAGUGUUGAAUGUCGAACGUAUUACACAUCUAAGACUUACAUUAACAUGUAACAUCGUGUAUUCAUGUGGACAACAAAAUGCCAUGUGGAAGUAGUUCCAGGUUAUGUUACUACUUGCUAGUAAGUAAUUAAACAGUUCGUGUGAGUUAUGUACGAAUUUCAUACUUUCCACGACCUGUUAAUGUUAAACACUUCAACCUUUUACAAGGUUAAAAAAAAAU